rnacentral:lncRNA from 1 species
UCUGAGAAUGCUUCUGUCUAGAGUUUAUCUAAAGACAUUCCCGUUUCCCAAGAAAUACUCAAAGCUAUGCAAAUAUCCUCUUGCAGAUUCUACAAAAAGAGGGUUUCAAAACUGCUCUUUGCAAAGAAAGGUUCAACUCUGUCAGUAGAGGGCACACAUCACAAACAAGUUUCUGAGAAUGCUUCUGUCUAGUUUUUAUGGGAAGAUAU